rnacentral:rRNA from 2 species
AGCAUAAGCGAUUUGGGAUAAGUCCCUUGGAAAAGGGCAGCACAGAGGGUGAUACUCCCGUCUUUGCUCAGAUUGUCUAUGUGUACGAUACGCUUUCUUUGAGUCGAGUUGUUUGGGAAUACAGCUCAAAGUAGGUGGUAAAUUCCAUCUAAAGCUAAAUAUUGGUGCGAGACCGAUAGCGAACAAGUACCGUGAGGGAAAGAUGAAAAGAACUUUGAAAAGAGAGUUAAAGAGUACCUGAAACUGUUGAAAGGGAACCGUAACAUGUCCAGUGUUGUAUCUUGUGCAUAUUUCAUUAGUGGAGUAAUUUACUGGUGCCCUGUGCAUAAGUGUGACGUCAAAGUCAGUUUGUAUGCUGCGGGAGAUGGUUAACAAGGAGGUGCGUCGCUUUUGUGUCAGUUAUACCUUGUUAUCUAGUAGCCGUGGUUGAGACUGAGGUGCC